CUACGGGCCGCAGCAGUGGGGAAUAUUGGACAAUGGGGGCAACCCUGAUCCAGCGAUGCCGCGUGUGUGAAGAAGGCCUGCGGGUUGUAAAGCACUUUUAGUGGGGAUGAAAAGCACAUCGCUAAUACGGGUGUGUCUUGACCUAACCCAAAGAAAAAGCACCGGCUAACUCUGUGCCAGCAGCCGCGGUAAUACAGAGGGUGCGAGCGUUAAUCGGAAUUACUGGGCGUAAAGCGUGCGUAGGCGGUUUAGUAAGUCAGAUGUGAAAGCCCUGGGCUCAACCUGGGAACUGCAUUUGAAACUGCUGAACUAGAGUGUGGUAGAGGGAAGUGGAAUUCCGGGUGUAGCGGUGAAAUGCGUAGAUAUCCGGAGGAACACCAGUGGCGAAGGCGACUUCCUGGACCAACACUGACGCUGAGGUACGAAAGCGUGGGUAGCAAACAGGAUUAGAUACCCGCGUAGUC
rnacentral:rRNA from 1 species